ACCAAUGCGAUUGGUUUACGGUAACGACACCUACGCAUGAUACUACCUGACCCCGCCCCCAAUCAGCUGGCCGUGCCCCCCCAGGGAGAGAGGAGGCCACCAGGGAACGGCACAACCUGUCCAGUCUUCCUGACUGAAUUUUCGCCUAAGCGUCAUAUAAUCAAUAGCAGCAACAUAAAAUGGUUUAAUAGUUUCACUUAUGAGAUUGAUUUAGGUUAAAACGUGUAUAUGUCAACUCAAAUAAAUGUAUUAAUGAGAACUACCCUUUGCGCACGUGCCACAUUCUGCGCUUUUUGCGUCGUUCUGCCUUUUUUGCGGACUGAAAUUGGCUGCAACAUCAUUUUUUCUGGCUUGGGUGGAAAUACGUUAUUUGGAUUCUGCAUGCAGAGGUGUAAGGAAUGCGGUUUGGAUCUGGAUUUGAGGUUGAUAUUCAUUUACAUUGUCAAUAAUGGAAAUGCACAAUGCACUGGACUUUUGUUAAUUUCCUGAUCAGAUGGUUUAUUAUUUUGUAUUUGUUGUAUUGGAUGGUCAGUUCUGACUUCUCUGAGCAUUUGCAAUAUAAACGCUUGAACUACAUUAUGUAUCAUGCGUCUUAAUAGGGGAUAAAAUAAGAAAUGUUUAAUAAAAUAAUUGUUUAGAACUA